rnacentral:rRNA from 1 species
UACGAAGGGGGCUAGCGUUGCUCGGAAUCACUGGGCGUAAAGCGCACGUAGGCGGAUUGCUAAGUCAGGGGUGAAAUCCUGGAGCUCAACUCCAGAACUGCCUUUGAUACUGGCGACCUUGAGUCCGGGAGAGGUGAGUGGAACUGCGAGUGUAGAGGUGAAAUUCGUAGAUAUUCGCAAGAACACCAGUGGCGAAGGCGGCUCACUGGCCCGAUACUGACGCUGAGGCACGAAAGCGUGGGGAGCAAACAGGAUUAGAUGACCCUAGUACGUCA